GUAUGCUGGCGGCGUGUUUAAUACAUGCAUGUCGAACGCUUUUUCUUUCACCGGAGCUUCGCUCCACCGAAAGAAAAAGAGUGGCGAACGGGUGAGUAACACGUGGGUAACCUGCCCCUCAGAAGGGGAUAACACUUGGAAACAGGUGCUAAUACCGUAUAACACUAUUUUCCGCAUGGAAGAAAGUUGAAAGGCGCUUUUGCGUCACUGAUGGAUGGACCCGCGGUGCAUUAGCUAGUUGGUGAGGUAACGGCUCACCAAGGCAACGAUGCAUAGCCGACCUGAGAGGGUGAUCGGCUAUCAUGGGACUGAGACACGGCCCAGACUCCUACGGGAGGCAGCAGUAGGGAAUCUUCGGCAAUGGACGAAAGUCUGACCGAGCAACGCCGCGUGAGUGAAGAAGGUUUUCGGAUCGUAAAACUCUGUUGUUAGAGAAGAACAAGGAUGAGAGUAAAAUGUUCAUCCCUUGACGGUAUCUAACCAGAAAGCCACGGCUAACUACGUGCCAGCGGCCGCGGUAAUACGUAGGUGGCAAGCGUUGUCCGGAUUUAUUGGGCGUAAAGCGAGCGCAGGCGGUUUCUUAAGUCUGAUGUGAAGCCC
rnacentral:rRNA from 1 species